rnacentral:rRNA from 1 species
GGAGCUUGCUCCACCGGAAAAAGAGGAGUGGCGAACGGGUGAGUAACACGUGGGUAACCUGCCCAUCAGAAGGGGAUAACACUUGGAAACAGGUGCUAAUACCGUAUAACAAUCGAAACCGCAUGGUUUUGAUUUGAAAGGCGCUUUCGGGUGUCGCUGAUGGAUGGACCCGCGGUGCAUUAGCUAGUUGGUGAGGUAACGGCUCACCAAGGCCACGAUGCAUAGCCGACCUGAGAGGGUGAUCGGCCACAUUGGGACUGAGACACGGCCCAAACUCCUACGGGAGGCAGCAGUAGGGAAUCUUCGGCAAUGGACGAAAGUCUGACCGAGCAACGCCGCGUGAGUGAAGAAGGUUUUCGGAUCGUAAAACUCUGUUGUUAGAGAAGAACAAGGAUGAGAGUAACUGUUCAUCCCUUGACGGUAUCUAACCAGAAAGCCACGGCUAACUACGUGCCAGCAGCCGCGGUAAUACGUAGGUGGCAAGCGUUGUCCGGAUUUAUUGGGCGUAAAGCGAGCGCAGGCGGUUUCUUAAGUCUGAUGUGAAAGCCCCCGGCUCAACCGGGGAGGGUCAUUGGAAACUGGGAGACUUGAGUGCAGAAGAGGAGAGUGGAAUUCCAUGUGUAGCGGUGAAAUGCGUAGAUAUAUGGAGGAACACCAGUGGCGAAGGCGGCUCUCUGGUC